ensembl:lncRNA
UCUUGUCAAGAUGUUAUGGAUCAGUGGACUGCUAUGAGGAUUAAAGUCCUAGGCAUUACCAGAACAGGUCUGCACUGGGUGGAAUCCUAUCUUUCAGACAAAUCCUUCAAGGUAUCGUGGAGGGGAAGUAUUUCUGAAACUCAGAAACUCACAACUGGGGUUCCCCAGGGGUCAGUUCUGGGUCCACUGUUCUUUUCUAUUUACAUCUCUGGGGCAUGUGAUUGAAAGUCAUGGCUUCUUAUAUCAUCGCUAUGCUGAUGACACCUAGCUCUAUUUGUCCUUCCAGCCUGUUGAUCCGUCUGUCUCUUUUCAAAUCUAGCCAGUCUGACAUGUCAAUUUGGAUGAGGGAACACCACCUUCGGCUUAAUUUGGCAAAAACUGUGCUUCUCGUCAUCCCAGCCUGCCCCUCAAUCAACCACAACCUCACUAUACAGCUCAGCUCAACCAUACUCAAGCUUUUGAUGACAG